rnacentral:rRNA from 1 species
UACGUAGGGGGCAAGCGUUGUCCGGAUUUAUUGGGCGUAAAGAGCGUGUAGGCGGCCAAGCAGGUCCGCUGUGAAAACUCGAGGCUCAACCUCGAGACGUCGGUGGAAACCGUUUGGCUAGAGUCCGGAAGAGGAGAGUGGAAUUCCCGGUGUAGCGGUGAAAUGCGCAGAUAUCGGGAAGAACACCGGUGGCGAAGGCGGGUCUCUGGGCCGAUACUGACGCUGAGGAGCGAAAGCGUGGGGAGCGAACAGG